GACGAACGCUGGCGGCGCGCCUAACACAUGCAAGUCGAACGAGCGAGAGAGAGCUUGCUUUCUUGAGCGAGUGGCGAACGGGUGAGUAACGCGUGAGGAACCUGCCUCAAAGAGGGGGACAACAGUUGGAAACGACUGCUAAUACCGCAUAAGCCCACGGUGCCGCAUGGCACAGAGGGAAAAGGAGCAAUCCGCUUUGAGAUGGCCUCGCGUCCGAUUAGCUAGUUGGUGAGGUAACGGCCCACCAAGGCGACGAUCGGUAGCCGGACUGAGAGGUUGAACGGCCACAUUGGGACUGAGACACGGCCCAGACUCCUACGGGAGGCAGCAGUGGGGAAUAUUGCACAAUGGGGGAGACCCUGAUGCAGCGACGCCGCGUGGAGGAAGAAGGUCUUCGGAUUGUAAACUCCUGUUGUUGGGGAAGAUAAUGACGGUACCCAACAAGGAAGUGACGGCUAACUACGUG
rnacentral:rRNA from 1 species